ACGGGAGGCAGCAGUGGGGGAUAUUGCACAAUGGGGGAAACCCUGAUGCCGCGACGCCGCGUGAGUGAAGAAGUAUUUCGGUAUGUAAAGCUCUAUCAGCAGGGAAGAAAAUGACGGUACCUGACUAAGAAGCUCCGGCUAAAUACGUGCCAGCAGCCGCGGUAAUAAGUAUGGAGCAAGCGUUAUCCGGGUUUACUGGGUGUAAAGGGAGCGUAGACGGCGAGGCAAGUCUGAUGUGAAAGCCAUGGGCUCAACCCAUGAACUGCAUUGGAAACUGUCUUGCUUGAGUGUCGGAGAGGUAAGCGGAAUUCCUAGUGUAGCGGUGAAAUGCGUAGAUAUUAGGAGGAACACCAGUGGCGAAGGCGGCUUACUGGACGAUAACUGACGUUGAGGCUCGAAAGCGUGGGGAGCAAACAGGAUUAGAUACCCUGGUA
rnacentral:rRNA from 1 species